GAAAGUGUGGCUCAAGUGGCAGAGUGUAUGCCUAGUAAGUAGAAGGCCCUGAGUUCAAACCUUGGUACUUUAA
rnacentral:tRNA from 1 species